UUGGUGACCAGCGGAGGGAUCAUUACCGAGUUUACAACUCCCAAACCCAAUGUGAACGUUACCAAACUGUUGCCUCGGCGGGAUCUCUGCCCCGGGUGCGUCGCAGCCCCGGACCAAGGCGCCCGCCGGAGGACCAACCAAAACUCUUAUUGUAUACCCCCUCGCGGGUUUUUUACUAUCUGAGCCAUCUCGGCGCCCCUCGUGGGCGUUUCGAAAAUGAAUCAAAACUUUCAACAACGGAUCUCUUGGUUCUGGCAUCGAUGAAGAACGCAGCGAAAUGCGAUAAGUAAUGUGAAUUGCAGAAUUCAGUGAAUCAUCGAAUCUUUGAACGCACAUUGCGCCCGCCAGUAUUCUGGCGGGCAUGCCUGUCCGAGCGUCAUUUCAACCCUCGAACCCCUCCGGGGGGUCGGCGUUGGGGAUCGGCCCUUUACGGGGCCGGCCCCGAAAUACAGUGGCGGUCUCGCCGCAGCCUCUCCUGCGCAGUAGUUUGCACACUCGCAUCGGGAGCGCGGCGCGUCCACAGCCGUUAAACACCCCAAACUUCUGAAAUGUUGACCUCGGAUCAGGUAGGAAUACCCGCUGAACUUAAGCAUAUCAAUAAAG
rnacentral:rRNA from 1 species